UUAACUCAAUUUUGUAUGGAGUUAGAACGUUUGCCUACAUUUGCCGCUAGGGGCGCUGUUCCAAGUGCAUACAAAUUUGAGUGA
rnacentral:pre_miRNA from 1 species